CUUUUAUUUGUAAAAAUCCCUUCUUCUAAGGUCUUUAUGUUGUGUUUGACUUUCAGCUGUGCAUAUGAAAGCUGUGUAUCUAUCUUGGUGCCUUAGGCGGGUCACUCUCAAGACAGUUUGAUAGGGAAGUGUGGUUGGUAGAACUGGAUGACAACUAGGUUACACUUGCUACAAAAGCUGACUCUUUUCUCCCCAGGCAAAACAGGGCAAGAUACUGAACCUCCAGGUUCUUGCCCUGAGGCACCUGUGAAUGGGUGGCCAUGUCCAAUACCUCCUCCUGUGUGAAGUCCUCCCAGACACAGGGAAAAGUUCCCAAUGCACAGCAUCACUCCUGCAGCAGUAACAAUGCCUCCAGAGGGAUGGAGCUCACCAAGGAGAAUCAGCUGGAUCACACUAAGGAGCAGAAAAGCAGUGGUGCUCAAGGCUUCACAGUCAUCAGGGCAAGAAGCGUGUGUUGCUUAAUGCAAUGAAACUGGUACCCCAUGCAGCAACAUGAUUCUGAGGGCAUAUGGUCAAAUGCAGUGCAUGUUUUUCUACCAGAACUGGUUUGUGUACCACACAGCUCACGUG
rnacentral:lncRNA from 1 species